AGCAAACAUUGCAUUUCUAAAGUGUUGCAACAUGACAUAGAUCAGGAGGAACUGGACCAGAAGUGUCCUAUAUAUAUUUAGUCUGUUUCGUUUCAGACAAGUCUAUGACUUGUCAUCUAGUUGGUAUACAGAACCAUUUCUAUCAUGAAGCUGACAACUCUAUUUCUUCUCAUUUCCCUGGUGAUCGGUUGCUGUUCAGCUACUGCUACCACUACUGAUGUUUGCCCUGCUGCCCUUGAUGUUGUUUACCAGUACCUUUCAGGCCCAUACAAGUCCUACAUGAAGGCAAUUGCUCCAUUUGCAACAACAACUCUGAUGAAGAAAGGGGCAUCAAAGUUGAAGAAAUGUGUGGUUCAACAUCCACCUCUGCUCAAAGAAGCAAUUCACCAAUUGAUUGAAAAUUACAUGGCACGUUGUAUAGCAAAGGGACAGCAGCAGCAACAGGGGCAGCAGCAACAGCAACAGCAACAACAGGAGCAGCAGCAGCAACAGAAGCAGCAGCAACAACAACAACAACAGGUACAGCAGUGGCAGGAGCAACAGCAACAACAACAGGAUGCAGCAGCAACAGGAGCAGCAGCAACAACAGGAGCAACAGCAACCAGGAGCGGCAGCCACCAACCAACAGGAGCAGCAGCGC
rnacentral:lncRNA from 11 species